rnacentral:rRNA from 1 species
CAGCCGCCACGGUAAUACGUAGGGUGCACGCGUUAAUCGGAAUUACUGGGCGUAAAGCGUGCGCAGGCGGUUAUAUAAGACAGAUGUGAAAUCCCCGGGCUCAACCUGGGAACUGCAUUUGUGACUGUAUAGCUAGAGUACGGCAGAGGGGGAUGGAAUUCCGCGUGUAGCAGUGAAAUGCGUAGAUAUGCGGAGGAACACCGAUGGCGAAGGCAAUCCCCUGGGCCUGUACUGACGCUCAUGCACGAAAGCGUGGGGAGCAAACAGGAUUAGAUACCCCUGUAGUCCCUGUCUCUUAUAU